AAGUGAUGUUUGGCUCAGAGAAGAGUCUUCAGACCUGGAAAGGACUUGAGGAGUCCCAGAGAGGAGCUACAUGGUCUGAACCAUUUGAUUCUCACAAAAGAAUGGGGAAAAACAAUUCCAACCAUGAAGCAAUGCAGAUGUUCAUAUUUUGGAUCUGGUAAGGUAUGUAUUGGGUGGAGGAGCAUUAUGUAUGGAACUUCUCACAAAACAGGGCUGAAGCAGUGCCUACUCAAUAGAACCGGUCAUCGUGCAAAGAAAUGCCACCUGACUCAAAGGCAAAGCCAGAGUGCAGCUUGGAGCAAAGAAGGUAUGUUAUUAAGAAUUUUAAAGAAACCAGAAGAGAUAUUUUAUAUUUGUGAGCCUUCUUUCUGUCUUGCCUUAAUUCUUUUUGAGAGAAUUCAUUUCAUUUUCAUUUGGUUUGUUUUCUUCUUGUCAUAAAGAUGAACUAUAGAAAAUAUAGAAGUAUAAGAAAAUUAAAGACACUAACUGAUAAUCACUUAAUGAUUUCGUAUCUGCUUGUUUAGUCUUUGUUAUAUUUACUGUAGGCAAACAUGGCUACAGUUGUAAACUUCUUAUUGAAAUGUAUACCCUAGUAAGUUAAAAGUUAUAUGUACUUUGAAGUUUUGCAAAAUUGAGUUCAUGUUAUAGAAUUAAUUCCCGAUGAACUUUUCUGUGCUAGGCACUAGUCUUUUUAAUUAUUUCUUUAUUCAUUUAUUGAUUUAUUUUUCCUUUUUUUCCCUCUGCGCCUAUUCUUACCAAGUCCUUUUAUUUGUUACUUUUUAUUAACUCUUUCGAUCCUCUUAAUAACUUAAAAAGAGGGUACUACUAAUAUCUGCAUCUUGUAGAUGAGGUAACUGAAGGUAGGUAACUAGUCCAGGGUCACAGGUGGCAGAGCAAGGAUUAAAACCAGACAGUCUGGUAGCCCAAGGCCCAACCAAGAGGAGCUGAGAGCAAGUCAUGAGGCAGAAGGAUGUUGGUGAGGCUGGUGUCCUGUUUAGUUAACAUGAAACGCAGGCUGUAACCUUAAUUCUAGGACAUUCCCAAGAAAGUCUUCCAGAGUCAUAGCUUUUUUACCAUGACCAUGACUUUUAGCAAGAAUUUGUGGUUUAAAGACAACAUGGUGCCCUGAGAAGCUUCCAUUCACUCUUACGGAGGGACUGGUAAUUGAGCUAAAUAGUGAAAUCCUGGAGCACGCAGCCUUUAGGGGAGCUUCUGACCUAUUUCUAUGGUCAGAAAAGACCCCUGUCUUUCCCUGCUGCCCACAGCCUCCAGUUAUUCACCUUCAGAGUUUAAUCUGUGAUCACAUGCAGAUGAGAGAUCUGUUUUGUUUUUUCCAGGGUAGGAGGAAGGGAGUCAUCACCUAUACUAAGCAGUCUAGUCUUCUGUGUAUAAAUGAGCAGGGUUGGGCAGCCAAAUUUGAGAAACUUGUGUAAUCCUGACAUUCUCCAAGAGAAUCCAACGGGAUGUCAGGAUUAUGCAUGGUGGUAAAGUGGUCUCAUGUUAGUUGUGUUCACAGCUCUCAUCAGAAGCAGACACAGAUACAUUUGUAGGAAAGCAUCUCUAACUUCCCAAAACUUAAAAGCAGGCAACUACUAAUUCAGUGAAAUCAUAGCAUUCAAGUAGUCAACCCAACAUAUUUCAGAAUUAUCAGAAACAAUGACUAAUAUGUUUCCCAAAGACUGCAGCUUUUGGAAUUAUCAGAUGCAGAACACAGACUUCAAAUAUUAGAAUUGUGAGAAAAUAGUUACAUGUGAAAUACAUCUAAUAUAUAUAAAAAGAUGGACUCAUAAAACUGAGUGAGCAGUGAGACCACCAGGAAAGAUGAGGAACACCUGAAAGGAAAUGGAUGAAAUAGAACUUACAGAAAUAAAAUAUAUAGGUGGGUAUGGUGGCUCACAACUGUAAUCCCAGCACUUUUUGAGAGGCUGAGGAAGGAGGAUGGCAUGAGCCCAGGAGUUGGAGACAAGCCUGGGCAACACGGUGAGAACUCAUUUCGACAAACAAUACCCACCACCACCACCAAAAAAAAAAAAAAAAAAGCUGGGUAUGCGGUACCUGCCUAUAGUCCCAGCUACUCAGGAGGCUGAGGUGGGAGGAGCACUUGAGCUCAGGAGGCCAAGGCUGCAGGUUCAUGCCACUGCAGUCCAGCCUGGGUGACAGAGUGAGACUCUGUUUCAGAAGAAAAUGAAAUAAGGAAAUAUAAAAUGUAAUUGUUGAAAUCAGAAACUCAGUAGGUGGAUUAGACACCAGAAGAAAGGAUUAAUUGGUUAGACGAUUAUCCCCAAAAAGUAAGUCCGUAUGUUACACAGCGAGACAUGAGGACAAAUGAUAGGACAGAAGUUGGUGGGGUUGGUGGGGAGAGGGAGAUCAGAAUGAGGUCUAAAAUAUGUCUUAAUGGAAUCCCAGGAUGAAAUAUUAAAACUACAUUGGAAAGUGAGAGAAAUAGAAGUUCUAAAGGUGACAGUCGAAGGAAGUCCACAUAAAUCAGUCACAACGAAUGUAAAUGGACUAAAGUUACCAGUUAGACAGAUGGAAGUAAUAAAACAAUAUCCAGUUGUGUUAAUCCAUCAUAUUUAAAAUAUGAGGAUGUGAAAAGAUUGAAAGCUUUUAUAAAGGAGAGAGAGUGAUAAAGAUAUGCCAGUACACAUUAACCGAAAACAAGAGACGGAGCUUCAGUUUCAAACAAAAUAGGAUUUUGAAACAGAAAGCAUUAGUAACAACUUGAUGCUAAAUGACUGUUAAUUAGGAAGAUGUAGCAAUUUUCGUAGUUUAUGUACCUAUCAAAAUAGCAUCAAACUACAGAGAAAAAACUGAUAGAACCACAGAGAGAAAUUGACAAGUCUGCCAUGGUAUUUGGAGAUUUCAACAUACCC
rnacentral:lncRNA from 10 species